GACCGCCUGGGGAGUACGGCCGCAAGGUUAAAACUCAAAUGAAUUGACGGGGGCCCGCACAAGCGGUGGAGCAUGUGGUUUAAUUCGAUGCAACGCGAAGAACCUUACCUACUCUUGACAUCCAGAGAACUUUCCAGAGAUGGAUUGGUGCCUUCGGGAACUCUGAGACAGGUGCUGCAUGGCUGUCGUCAGCUCGUGUUGUGAAAUGUUGGGUUAAGUCCCGCAACGAGCGCAACCCUUAUCCUUUGUUGCCAGCGGUUAGGCCGGGAACUCAAAGGAGACUGCCAGUGAUAAACUGGAGGAAGGUGGGGAUGACGUCAAGUCAUCAUGGCCCUUACGAGUAGGGCUACACACGUGCUACAAUGGCGCAUACAAAGAGAAGCGACCUCGCGAGAGCAAGCGGACCUCAUAAAGUGCGUCGUAGUCCGGAUUGGAGUCUGCAACUCGACUCCAUGAAGUCGGAAUCGCUAGUAAUCGUGGAUCAGAAUGCCACGGUGAAUACGUUCCCGGGCCUUGUACACACCGCCCGUCACACCAUGGGAGUGGGUUGCAAAAGAAGUAGGUAGCUUAACCUUCGGGAGGGCGCUUACCACUUUGUGAUUCAUGACUGGGGUGAAGUCGUAACAAGGUAACCGUAGGGGAACCUGCGGUUG
rnacentral:rRNA from 1 species